GCCACCCUAGCUCAGUCGGUAGAGCAGAGGCCUGAAAAGCCUUGUGUCCGCAGUUCAAUUCUGCGGGGUGGCA
rnacentral:tRNA from 1 species